rnacentral:lncRNA from 10 species
GAUUAUAACCCUCCACUGAUGUCCCCUCAAAGAUCCCCUACUCAACCAUAUAUGGGGCCUUCUAUGCAAUUUCAAGAGUCAAGACAAAAUAUUCCAAAUAAACUAAAUGAAUAUCAGAUUUAUUAGCAGACACCAUCCAACUUGAUGCCUCACUAUGGACAUCUGUCAAGUCACUUACACAAAUGAACUGUGCCAUGAUGGAUCAAGUGUGCCACGCACGGUCACAUGCUGGCAGAGGCCGGACUGCAAAGUCCACACGCACGUGAAGGCUCGGUUAACUACCCCCUGGAAGAGAACUUAGGAGAGAUCAUCAAGGUUCAACCAUUUUCAGCAUUAGUAAUCUGUUUCAAGACACAAAGCCCAAAGGAGUGAAAACAAGCCAAUAUGGCGGAUGAUGAUGAAUACUGAUGAUUAUCGUGGAUGGGUCUGGAGCACCACAUUAGAAGGCAAAGCAUGACUUUGUGACUAAAGACCAUCUACACCAAAGGUUGGAGGUUCAACAAUACUUUAGAAACAAAACAUUGCAAACAACAGGCUAUGAGGUAUAAUAUAGGAAUCUAUAUAUAAUCAUAUAUAGUUAUGUAUACACACAAGCAUAUAUGCACACAAUUCUGCUAAUUAUGUACAUACAAUUAUAUAGAUUUACACGCACAUACAUAUAAUCACACACACACACGUCCACAUGCUAAAACUCCUAGAUGAGGAUCCCCUGAGCACCACACUCGUACAUCCAACGGUCUACAGCCCUUCCAAUUGGAUGUCAGUAAACAUCUUAGACCUAUGUCCAAAACUGAAUUCCUCAUCUUCUCCUCAAAGCCUGCUCCACCCACAGUCUUUGAUGGGGAAAUGACUCACUUUUGGUGACUCCGGCCAAAUAUCAUUCUUAAAUCCUCUCUCUCUGUCUCCCUUCCUUCAUCCAAUCAUCAGGAGAUUCUGUUGGCUUAUCUUUCCAACUGUACCCAAAAUGGACCAUGUGUGCCUGCCUUUUGGGAUCCACCCAGGCCGAAGCCAUCCAUUUCCUCCUGGACCUCUGCAACUACCUUCCCAGCAAGUCCCUCUGGUUCUACCAUACUUCCCAACAGACUAUCCUCAACACAGAGACAAAGAGGCCUUUCGAAAAUCUAAGUUUAGCCUGGGCAACAUAGUGAGACCCCAUCUCUACUAAAAAAAAAAUUAUAGGCAUGUUGGCACAUGCCUGUAGUUUCAGCUACACAGGAGGCUGAGAUGGGAGGAUUGCUUGAGCCCAGGAGUUUGAGGCUGCAAUAAGCUAUGACUCUGCCACUGCACUCUAGCCAGGGUGACAAAGUGAGACCCUGUCUCAAAAAAAAAAAGAAGAAAGAGGAAAGAAAGAAAAUGAAGGAAAGGAAGAAAGAAGGGAGGGAGAGAGGGACAGAGGAAAAGAAAGAGAAAGUAAGAGACGGAGGGAAGGAAGAAAAGAACUAAGGAAGGAGGGAAGGAAGGGAGGGAGGCAGUAAAUCUAACUCAGACCAUGUCACUCUUCUGCUCAAAACUCUCCAAUGGCUUCCGAUUCAUUCAAGGGAGAUGCCCAAUCCUUACAAUUGCCCCAUUUCUUCUUACCUUUUGGCCAUCGUCCUUCCCCUUUCUCACACUCCUCUAGCCUACUGGCUUCCUAUUGUUCCUUCACCACCCCAGACAUGUUCCCACCCCAGGGCCUUUGCACUGGCUGUUUCUUCUGUCUGGACUAUUGUCCCUGUAAAUGUUCCCAGGGUUCGUUCACUCCCUGCCUUUGGAGUCUUUUCUCAGAUGUCACCUUCUCUCUGACUACCCUCCUCCACCUCCAACACUCUCUAUCCCUCUUCCCCAAGUCUACUUUUUCCAUGAAUAGUUUUCAACAUCCAACAAUAUCAUUACUGCCUUUCUCCUCCCACUAGAAUAUAAAUUCAAUAAAGAUAAGAAUGUUUUGUCUGCCUUUUACACUGAUGUCCCAGUAAGAAGAAGAGUGUUUGGUAAAUAGUAGGUGUUCAAUAGGCACAAAUGAAUUUCUGGGUGCAAAAUAAUGAUACUCAGAACUGCUGUCCAAGCCCAUCCAGACACAGAACUUGAAAUCCAAGUGAAAAUAAGAUGUCCAGCAGCCAACACCACUAGUCACUCCCCAAACUACAUCUAUGGGAAAAAUAUGGUAACAUUAAGGCUUCUGUGUUAUAAUAAAGUCCCAUUUUGAACCCCAGAACUAUCUACCUAGAAAAAGGCUUUAUUCUAGAAAAUGCACUAACCUUUUUAUAGAGCCCUAGGUGGAUGGGGGUUGGGUGCUAGGGAUAGGUGCCUUCCGUGGCUGAGCACAAACUGCAAUGAACAACACAGAUUCUAGCCUGCAGGCAAAAUGCUGAGAGAAGAGAGAACCAACAGCAUAAAGUCAAUGGGGGCAAGGAUUCAAGUGUUAGAUUUGACAGCUAAUUUUUUUUUCUAAUUUAAAAUUUCCUCUUCUAAAAAAACUGCUUUAUAUUAUAGGUCAGGGUUUCUCCAAGUGUUGUGCUAAGGACUGCAGAACAACCAGAUGGCUGUUAAAAAUGCGCAUUACCCGCUCCCCACUCUGGAUUUACUGUAGCAGAAUCUCUAGGCGGUGGGACCCUAAUACAUGUAUUUUUAACCAGCUUUGAAGGAACUCCAAAGCACUCUAAUAUUUGAGAACGACUAGCCUAGUUCAUUUUAGACUAAUAUGGAAAUUCCUUUUUUUAAAAUAAACAUUUCUACACAUCUCACAGAAAUGCUGAUAGAGCACAGGCUGUUUUGUUGAUAGCAAUGAAGGCUUGGCACGCAUAUUUACAAUCUCCUCUCACUUUCCUGGAUGAUAGGGACAUGCAACCAUUUGUGAAGUGACCAUCCAGCCCCUUCUACCCAUAUCACCAGGAGAAAGGAUGGGAACAUCCAAACUUGGAUCAAGCAGGAACACAAGUUCCAUUGUUGGAUUCUUCAACAAGUUCUGUGGACCCACACAAGUAACAACAAUGCCUAAACAUAUGGACUCUGCUCAAACACGGAGGCCUUGGGAUUUUCAUGAUCUGGACACAUUUGAGUCUGUGAAUCGCAUAACCAUCUGGACUAGUUAAAAGUGGCAAAAAAGAAAAACACCCUCUCAAACCCAACUGCACUUGUUUAAUAUCAGGAAAACAAAUAUAAGUAGAAGUGGAUACUAAGGUUCCAGAAUUAAGGGGGCUUUUUUGUUUUGUUUUGGGAAGUUUUUUCUUGCUUUUUUUUUUAGCAAAAAUGGGGCCAUCUUUGAGAUUGGCCAAGCAACCAAUCAUCACCAAUAUUCGGAGAACAGGAAGAGAAGGCCUCUGAUCUCUGGUUCUCUUCGAAUACACACCCACAAAAAAAUCCAAUGGUAACACAUAUGUUGUGAAGUGACUACAUCUUUUGUGUUAAUUCCAGUUUGUCUCCCUCCCUUCUGCCUGAAAGCCUUACCAACACUUAACUGAGUCCCUAUUAAAUGCUACUUAAUAGGAUAUAUUUAGUGGAAUAUAUUAUCUACUUCUCUGCAGAUGCAGAGAAGUAGAAGAUAUGACUGUUGAUUUUAAGGGGUGAAAACUCAGUUUGGGUGAUGAGACAAAAAAAUAUAUCAAGCUAAGGGCCAACUCAGUGACAAGUGGCUUGCAAAUCUAGGAGGAGGAGUCAAAAAGGAAUGGCCUUUCAGAGGAACAAGUCUUUUUUCAAUAUAUAAUUUCACCUUUUAUUUUAGAUUCAGGGAGUAGAUGUACAUGUUUGUUACAUGGGUAUAUUGCAUGAUGCUGAGGUUUGGGAUAUGAAUGAUCCCAUCAUCUAGGUACUGAGUAUAGUACCCAAUAGUUAGGAACAAGUCUUUAACCAAGAAAGAAGGCAGACAGAGGGAGAGUCCCAGGCAAAAAGGAGGGAGUGAGUGAAGCUUCAGACCUACUUGUACACAGGCUGUGUUCAAAGAACAAAGCAGAGAGCAAUUUGGCUACAGAAGAAAAGGAAGAAAGCUGGAGGAGAUGGUAGAAAGCCAGGCUCUGGUGGGCCUUGAAGGCUAACCUAAAUAUUUUGAAAUAUAUUAAAUAAGAGUGUCCACAAAGGAUUUUGUUAGAGGAAGGAGGCAGAGAGAGAGAGAUGUAAAGCCCACACCCGAACUUAUCAAUAGUGUGAGAUGCACAAGAGUAGUAUUAAGAAAGGCUGGUGCCAAGGAGACCAGUGAAGAACACUUCAAGGCUGGCAGGAGGUUGAAAGUGUCUAGACCGGGCAGAGGCAACAGUAGGGAGAACAAAAUUCAGAAAGCGCUUUACAGGAGUCAGACUAACUUUGAAUUCCAAUCCUAGCACCAAACUAGUUGUGGGAUGGCAGGCAAGCUGUCUUACUUGCCUUAAGAACAAGUUCAGCUUCCAGCUGAACUACUUGCUAGGGGUCAUUGUGUACAAGCUUGCUAGGGGUCAUUGUGUACAAGCUGUUUACUCUCCAUGUGUUUCAAUUUUCCCAUCAAUAAAACAGGGAUAAGAACAGUAUUUGCCACAUCACAGGGGUUUUGAGGAUUAAAUGGGUAAGUAUUAUAACGUCACCUUUUCUUUUUCAGAAAUGUUUAAUUUUUUUAAGAGACAGAGUCUUGCUCUGUUGCCCAGGAUGGAGUGCAAUGGUGCUACCAUAGCUCACUGUGGCCUCAAACUCCUAGGCUCAAAUGAUCCUCCCACUUAAGUCUCCCAAGUCACUUGGAUUACAGGAAUGUGCCACCAUGCCAGGCUUAAAGCCACCUUUUGUAUCUAUACUAAUGGCCAGGUGACAUUUCAAUGAGUUUUGAAGAAACCAAAAGAGACCAAGCAUAUCUGUUUUACAAACUGCUAUAGCUUAUAUGACAGUGCAAGAGAAUUUUACUAUUUAGAGAAAUCCAAUGGCUUCCCAAAGACACUUAGAGUAAAAUUCAAACUCCUUGCCAUGGGCUACAAGUCCCUAUAUCAUCUGGGUGCUGGCUCCUUCUCCAAACUCCCUCCUAAGAGAGCAGCUGCCACCCACUAAGCUCCAGAAACACUGCACUGCCUGGUCCUCAGUUCUUUCUCUGGGCCACUCAUUGCACUUGCUGUUCUUGCCUGGGCCACUCUCCCUUCUAUCCCUACUUUACGCAGGUUUCUGCUCAAUGUUCACUCCUCAGGGAGUCCUCCCAGGUCAGCUUAGCUAAAAGGACCUCCAUGUGCCCUCCUUGUCUCUUGCCCAUUCUCUUCCUUUAUAUCUCAUCAGAGAUACAAAGUCACUCAUCACUGACUAAUGUACUGGAUUUAUUUGUCCAUUCACUAUUUCUCUCCGUUCUAGAAUAGACAGUCCAUUUGUCUAGUUCAAUGCUGUUUCCUUGGAAGAGUAUCUGGCCCACAGGAGCUGCUCAGUAUGUUUCUGUUGAAUGCAUAAGUGAAUGAGUGAGCCAGAAACAUCCAAAUUCAUAGCCCAGCUCUACCACUUACAAGCUGGGUAUCAUCAGGUAGAGAAGAAACUAAGCACAAAGGAGAAGGAAGAUCAGACCAUGACAGCUGAAGAUAAAAUUUGAGGCAUAAUUUUCAGAAGG